CCCUCAGAUUUACAUAUAUUUCCAUACAUAACCAUUAAAAAGAGCUAUAGUUCGGCUGUGUAGUUAUAAACCUCUGCUGCAAUUUAAUAAUAUUGGGCAGUGCCACAAAUAAAGAAGCAAGAUGAUUUUACAAAUGUAUUUGAUUUGGCUCCUCUUUUCUGUGUUUGAAGAAUCCAGUGGGCAGAUUGUUAUCACUCAGACACCUGCUUCUGUGACGGUGCUUCCAGGAGAGACGGUCACCAUUGAGUGCAAGGCGUCCAGCUCCAUGAGUGACGAUAUGCAUUUAUAUCUGUUUAAAUCGGGACAAAAUCCUAAGCUCCUCAUAAAUGAUGCCGCCAACCGUUUCACUGGGGUCCCUGAUCGGUUCAGUGGUAGAUACAGAGGCGCUCACUUCAUAUUCACCAUUACUGGCGUGCAUGUGGAAGAUGCAGGAGAAUACUACUGUGGACAAAGCUACCGCCGUCCUCUCACAGUGAUACAGUUCAAUACUAAAACCUGUUCAGAGCCCCAGCAAACACAUGGUGAAGCGGAAGGAAGUGGUGGUGGCUGUCUCUAACCCAGCUGUAAUGUAACAAAUGAUUGAAGUUAGAUUUUUUUAUUCAUUCAGCUUGUUUGGAAAACCUUCUUUG